GACGAACGCUGGCGGCGUGCUUAACACAUGCAAGUCGAACGGAAAGGCCCUGCUUUUGUGGGGUGCUCGAGUGGCGAACGGGUGAGUAACACGUGAGUAACCUGCCCUUGACUUUGGGAUAACUUCAGGAAACUGGGGCUAAUACCGGAUAGGAGCUCCUGCUGCAUGGUGGGGGUUGGAAAGUUUCGGCGGUUGGGGAUGGACUCGCGCCUUAUCAGCUUGUUGGUGGGGUAGUGGCUUACCAAGGCUUUGACGGGUAGCCGGCCUGAGAGGGUGACCGGCCACAUUGGGACUGAGAUACGGCCCAGACUCCUACGGGAGGCAGCAGUGGGGAAUAUUGCACAAUGGGCGGAAGCCUGAUGCAGCAACGCCGCGUGUGGGAUGACGGCCUUCGGGUUGUAAACCGCUUUCGCCUGUGACGAAGCGUGAGUGACGGUAAUGGGUAAAGAAGCACCGGCUAACUACGUG
rnacentral:rRNA from 1 species